GCUUGUCUCAAAGAUUAAGCCAUGCAUGUCUAAGUGUAAAUAAGUCUAUACUGUGAAACUGCGAAUGGCUCAUUAAAUCAGUUAUAGUUUAUUUGAUGGUCCCUUACUACAUGGAUAACCGUAGUAAUUCUAGAGCUAAUACAUGCAUCAAACCCCGACUUCUGGAAGGGGUGUAUUUAUUAGAUGGAAACCAAUGCAGGGCAACCUGGAAUAUGGUGAUUCAUAAUAACUCGCGGAUCGGUUUACCGAUGCAUCAUUCAAGUUUCUGCCCUAUCAGCUUUGGAUGGUAGGGUAUUGGCCUACCAUGGCUUUAACGGGUAACGGAGAAUUAGGGUUCGAUUCCGGAGAGGGAGCCUGAGAAAUGGCUACCACAUCCAAGGAAGGCAGCAGG
rnacentral:rRNA from 1 species